UACGUGAGGGGCGAACGUUGUUCGGUGUCACUGGGCGUAAAGAGUGUGUAGGCGGUGCUCCCAGUCUGUUGUGAAAUCUCCCGGCUUAACUGGGAGGGUGCAGCGGAAACUAGAGUGCUAGAGGGUGGGAGAGGUAAGCGGAAUUCCUGGUGUAGCGGUGAAAUGCGUAGAUAUCAGGAGGAACACCUGUGGUGUAGACAGCUUACUGGACCACUUCUGACGCUGAGACACGAAAGCGUGGGUAGCAAACAGG
rnacentral:rRNA from 1 species